CAGUCGCCACGGUAAUACGAAGGGUGCAAGCGUUAAUCGGAAUUACUGGGCGUAAAGCGUGCGUAGGCGGUGAGUUAAGUCUGCUGUGAAAUCCCCGGGCUCAACCUGGGAAUGGCAGUGGAUACUGGCUCGCUAGAGUGUGUCAGAGGAUGGUGGAAUUCCCGGUGUAGCGGUGAAAUGCGUAGAGAUCGGGAGGAACAUCAGUGGCGAAGGCGGCCAUCUGGGACAACACUGACGCUGAGGCACGAAAACGUGGGGAGCAAACAGGAUUAGAUACCCCAGUAGUCCCUGUCUCUUAUAC
rnacentral:rRNA from 1 species